rnacentral:lncRNA from 1 species
GCAAAACAUGCAGAUUACCUUUAGUGCAAAUAAAUCGCUUUCCAAGCUGUGCCCUAUCAAUAUGGUGUCUGCACUGAACAUGUUCAGUAGGACGGCUUGGACAUCCCGCAGGGUGAUGCUAGUGUUCUCCAGGUCCUCUUCUGUCACACCUGAGAAUCUGGUGUUGUAGUCCACCACCUUGGUGUCUGGUUUGACAAAGGUGUCGUAUACCACUUUCAGGUCAGAGUUGAUCACAGUUACUCUCGUCAGCUCCAGUCCUUGCUUAGUGUAGCACAUCUCACAGUCUAACGCGAAGAUUCCGGGGUAACCAUCAGUCGUAGGCAACUUCUCAAAAGUCUUCACAAAGCCAUCAAGGCUCUCUUUCCGCCCAUCGUGGACAUGUUGCUUAGCAACCUGGCAGCCUGCUGAACCCACAGCUCCUGAGCAGCAGCUGUAAUGAGUUUCCCAU